rnacentral:tRNA from 1 species
GGAGGAGUCGCAUAGUUUGGUCCAUUGCGAGGGGUUGCUAACCCCUUGAGCCGUAACAGGCUCGCGUGGGUUCGAAUCCCACCUCCUCCG